rnacentral:rRNA from 1 species
UUGGAGGGCAAGUCUGGUGCCAGCAGCCGCGGUAAUUCCAGCUCCAAUAGCGUAUAUUAAAGUUGUUGCAGUUAAAAAGCUCGUAGUUGAAUUUCGGGGUCAGUAGAUUGGUCAUGCCACUGGUAUGUACUGGUCUCACUGAUUCCUCCUUCCUGAUGAGCCGUAAUGCCAUUAAUUUGGUGUUGCGAGGAAUCUGGACUGUUACUUUGAAAAAAUUAGAGUGUUUAAAGCAGGCUAACGCUUGAAUACACUAGCAUGGAAUAAUGAAAUAGGACGUUCGAUCCUAUUUUGUUGGUUUCUAAGAUUGACGUAAUGAUUAAUAGGGAUAGUUGGGGGCAUUAGUAUUCAAUUGUCAGAGGUGAAAUUCUUGGAUUUAUUGAAGACUAACUACUGCGAAAGCAUUUGCCAAGGAUGUUUUCAUUAAUCAAGAACGAAAGUUAGGGGAUCGAAGACGAUCAGAUACCGUCGUAGUCUUAACCAUAAACUAUGCCGACUAGGGAUCGGAUGAUGUUAAUUUUUUAAUGACUCAUUCGGCGCCUUACGGGAAAC